rnacentral:rRNA from 1 species
AACGAACGCUGGCGGCAGGCUUAACACACGCAAGUCGAACGCCCCGCAAGGGGAGUGGCAGACGGGUGAGUAACGCGUGGGAAUCUACCCAGUUCUACGGAAUAACCCAGGGAAACUUGGACUAAUACCGUAUACGCCCUACGGGGGAAAGAUUUAUCGGAAUUGGAUGAGCCCGCGUUGGAUUAGCUAGUUGGUGGGGUAAUGGCCUACCAAGGCGACGAUCCAUAGCUGGUCUGAGAGGAUGAUCAGCCACACUGGGACUGAGACACGGCCCAGACUCCUACGGGAGGCAGCAGUGGGGAAUAUUGGACAAUGGGCGCAAGCCUGAUCCAGCCAUGCCGCGUGAGUGAUGAAGGCCUUAGGGUUGUAAAGCUCUUUCAGUGGGGAAGAUAAUGACGGUACCCACAGAAGAAGCCCCGGCUAACUUCGUGCCAGCCGCCGCAGUAAUAC